UUUUUAGCGGCGGACGGGUGAGUAACGUGUGGGCAACCUGCCUUUUACUGGGGAAUAAUCACUGGAAACGGUGACUAAUACCGCAUAAUAUUCUUGGAAGGCAUCUUCCGAGAAGGAAAGGAAAUAUUCGGUAAAAGAUGGGCCCGCAUCUGAUUAGCUAGUUGGUGAGAUAACAGCCCACCAAGGCGACGAUCAGUAGCCGACCUGAGAGGGUGACCGGCCACAUUGGGACUGAGACACGGCCCAAACUCCUACGGAAGGCAGCAG
rnacentral:rRNA from 1 species